GCUGGGCGUGGUGGCUCACGCCUGUAAUCCCAGCACUUUGGGAGGCCGAGGUGGGUGGAUCACCUGAGGUCAGGAGUUCGAGACCAGCCUGGCCAACAUGGUGAAACCCCAUCUCUA
rnacentral:SRP_RNA from 1 species